UACAGCCCCAACAGCAGCUCCAACAGUCCAGUGUGACAGCUGUGUCUCCAUUGAACAGGUGUUUAUUUCUUCACUAACCAUACAAUCUGGAUGACAAUAACCCAAACAAAGUUGUUGUCUAUUCUAUUUUUUUUCAUUGUAAUUCUAAGUUGUGUCUCAACUCAAGUGUCAAUGUGAACUCGCGUCUCUUAUGAACAAUGUUUGUCUCAAUCUUGGAGAGAAGAGUUUCAGUGAAUUAGAGGACUUCAAUGAAGAAUGUGAGGACACAAGUUGUGAGGAAAGAGAAGAGCGUUUGCGUGAGAUACAGGAGCUCAGCAAAGACUACCAGAACACUAAAUGGCUCUUCGAAGAGGCAAAAAAGGCAGCAGACUGGUUGGAUGAAAACAGUGGGCUGAUAAAAAAUAAAUAUUGGCUGCCACGGGUGUUGGACAUGGAGGCGGAAGAGCAGGAGGAGGUGCUGGC